UACGAAGGGGGCUAGCGUUGUUCGGAAUUACUGGGCGUAAAGCGCACGUAGGCGGGUUGUUAAGUCAGGGGUGAAAUCCCGGAGCUCAACUCCGGAACUGCCUUUGAUACUGGCAACCUAGAGGCUGGAAGAGGUGAGUGGAAUUCCCAGUGUAGAGGUGAAAUUCGUAGAUAUUGGGAAGAACACCGGUGGCGAAGGCGGCUCACUGGUCCAGAUCUGACGCUGAGGUGCGAAAGCGUGGGGGGCAAACAGG
rnacentral:rRNA from 1 species